AUUGAACGCUGGCGGCAUGCCUUACACAUGCAAGUCGAACGGCAGCGCGUCCUUCGGGAUGGCGGCGAGUGGCGAACGGGUGAGUAAUACAUCGGAACGUGCCCGAGAGUGGGGGAUAACGCAGCGAAAGCUGUGCUAAUACCGCAUACGAUCUCAGGAUGAAAGCAGGGGACCGCAAGGCCUUGCGCUCACGGAGCGGCCGAUGGCAGAUUAGGUAGUUGGUGGGAUAAAAGCUUACCAAGCCGACGAUCUGUAGCUGGUCUGAGAGGACGACCAGCCACACUGGGACUGAGACACGGCCCAGACUCCUACGGGAGGCAGCAGUGGGGAAUUUUGGACAAUGGGCGAAAGCCUGAUCCAGCCAUGCCGCGUGCAGGAUGAAGGCCUUCGGGUUGUAAACUGCUUUUGUACGGAACGAAAAGGUCUUUUCUAAUAAAGAAGGCUGAUGACGGUACCGUAAGAAUAAGCACCGGCUAACUACGUG
rnacentral:rRNA from 1 species